GACGAACGCUGGCGGCGUGCUUAACACAUGCAAGUCGAACGGAAAGGCCCUGCUUUUGUGGGGUGCUCGAGUGGCGAACGGGUGAGUAACACGUGAGUAACCUGCCCUUGACUUUGGGAUAACUUCAGGAAACUGGGGCUAAUACCGGAUAGGAGCUCCUGCUGCAUGGUGGGGGUUGGAAAGUUUCGGCGGUUGGGGAUGGACUCGCGGCUUAUCAGCUUGUUGGUGGGGUAGUGGCUUACCAAGGCUUUGACGGGUAGCCGGCCUGAGAGGGUGACCAGCCACAUUGGGACUGAGGUACGGCCCAGACUCCUACGGGAGGCAGCAGUGGGGAAUAUUGCACAAUGGGCGGAAGCCUGAUGCAGCAACGCCGCGUGCGGGAUGACGGCCUUCGGGUUGUAAACCGCUUUCGCCUGUGACGAAGCGUGAGUGACGGUAAUGGGUAAAGAAGCACCGGCUAACUACGUG
rnacentral:rRNA from 1 species